ensembl:lncRNA
GCGUGGCGUCCCUGCGAAGGACUCUGCCCACCACAUACGACAGCGCAGGAACGCUCCAUCUGACACUGGCCACGUCUCGCCCUCACGAGUUACGAGGACUAACAGAGAAAGAAAAAGUGGGCGGACGGCUAACUGUCAGGCUGUGUGUAUCUGAAGUUCCCUUGCUUGCUGUGUGUUCUUCAGGUCCAGUACGGGGAAAAACAAAGUCCGUAUAAUCCCAGUGCCCAGCUCACCGGAGUCAUUGUGCUCCUAAGUGGAUAAAGCAACACGGGCUGGAUUUUGCAUGGUAUUAGCAGACCAGGAACCAAUGACCAGUAAGUGGAUUGUGAACUUGCAGGGACCCCUGAAGGACUGCAGAUAAAAGUGUGGGAUUGUAACACCUCAC